UACAGAGGUGGCAAGCGUUGUUCGGAUUUACUGGGCGUAAAGGGCGCGUAGGCGGCAUGACGAGUCACUUGUGAAAUCUCCGGGCUUAACUCGGAACGGCCAAGUGAUACUGUCAAGCUAGAGUGCAGAAAGGGCAAUCGGGAAUUCUUGGUGUAGCGGUGAAAUGCGUAGAUAUCGAGAGGAACACCCUGCGGCGAAGGCGGGUAGCUGGGCCGACACUGACGCUGAGGCGCGAAAGCCAGGGGGAGCGAACGGG
rnacentral:rRNA from 1 species